rnacentral:lncRNA from 7 species
ACUCACCACUCGUGUCUGCACAGAGCAGAGCACUGUGUGUGCUGUCCCCAGGACCACGCUGCCUGCCAAGACCUCUGCCCACUGCCACCAGCACUAUGUCAAGCUCAAGCAGCAGUUUGGAGAAAACAAUUGAGAUGAAAAAUUUCCUUCUACACGAUGUCCUGCCUGAUCAUGAACGUAUUUUUAUGGAGGUACCAGAGAACAGCAUAAAGAUUGGGGACAUAGUGCUUUUCAACAUGGAGUCCAGCAGCAGUACUUCGACCAUCUUCAAGCACGCAACUGUCUAUUGUGGGGAGGGGGAGGUCAUCCACUUCCGGAAUAUCGAAAAAUCAAGUAAAGGGCGAAUAAGCAAAGAAGGAUUCCUGAUUAUGAGACAUCAGAGGGGGAAAUGCAAGGUUCUCAGGAAAAGGGAGGGGUUCAACCAUGAGACGUUCAAGAAGAAAGUCAAGGAGCUGAUGAACAGCACAGCCAAUUACAACUUAGUGAACAACAACUGCAUCAACUUUGCUCUCUAUCUGCUGGAUGUGGGGGAUUUCAGCUUUCAGUCCGUGAGUAUGGAGCCAGGAUGGGGCACUUGCAGUGGGGCCAGACAGGUCUCAGGACAAAAUAUAUUCUUUUCCUGCAGCCAAAUAGCCAUGGAGAGGAACCUGUCCUCGCAAGAUUGACUCACAACGAGAUCGUCUGAGAGGUGCCCAGAGGCUCGUACCCCAGCACACACGCCCAGAGGAGCUUUGUCCCCACAAUUCAUCUUUCCACACGUCUGCUUCCUUCAAAAGAUGACCUUUCUGUAGGCGUUCCUUUCCAUCUUUUUGCACUGGAUCAUUUAAUAGUCGGCUCUCAGCACCCCCUGCACAGGGGUACAAAUACUAACCAGCUGCUGUAUUGACUAUUUCCACUUGAAGACUGCCUGUUUUCACUGCCUUACUCUGUGUUGUUCAAAUAAUCAUAACAUUCAGAGUAAUUUGCAAAUAAGAACUGCCUAUCAAUAAUAGUGCUUAUCUGUGUAUAACAAUUCUUAUCAGUGACUUCUUGUACUACUAAUAUCUAUAGCCAAAUAAUAGUAUCCAAGGUAAUGGUAUCUCAAGUAAUUACAAUAAACAAUUGCUAUUCUUCUUAUACUACUAAUAGCUAUAUGCAAAUAAUAGUAUCCCAGAUAAUAGCAUCUC